rnacentral:lncRNA from 1 species
CUGAUGCAGCGAGGUAAGGUCAUCGCCUACGCCUCGAGACAGUUGAAAACACAUGAGGUUAACUACACGACCCACGAUCUUGAGCUAGGAGCAGUAGUGUUUGCUCUGAAGAUCUGGAGACAUUACUUGUAUGGAACGAAGAGCACUAUCUUUACCGACCACAAGAGCUUACAACACAUUUUCGAUCAGAAGGAACUCAACAUGAGACAACGGCGAUGGGUCGAGCUACUCAAUGAUUACGAAUGCGAUAUUCGUUAUCAUCCGGGUAAAGCCAACGUCGUAGCCGAUGCCCUUAGUCGAAAGGAGUACUCAGGCCGAAGAGUGAAGUCCUUAGCUAUGUCGAUCCAUUCGCACCUAUCAACGCAAGUCAAGGAAGCUCAAUUAGAGGCCUUGAAACCCGAAAACGUGGCAGGUGAGGCCCUUAGGGGGAUGGGCAAGAACUUAGAAAUCAAGAGUGACGGAGCACGCUACCUCAUGAACCGGAUCUGGACACCAAAGUUUGGGGGAUUCAGAGAGGUAGUUAUGAGCGAGGCACACAGGACCCCAUACUCCGUACACCCAGGGUCAGACAAGAUGUAUCUAGAUCUCAAGCAACUCUACUGGUGGCCAAACAUGAAAGCAGAGAUCGCUACGUAUGUGAGCAAGUGUUUAACUUGCGCCAAAAUAAAGGUAGAACACCAAAAACCCUCAGGCCUACUCCAACAACCUGAAAUACCUGAGUGGAAAUGGGAGCAGAUUUCCAUGGACUUCAUAACCAAACUGCCCAAAACUCAGAGUGGCCAAGAUACUAUUUGGGUAAUCGUCGACAGAUUAACCAAGUCAGCCCAUUUCUUACCUAUCAAGGAAACCGAUAGGAUGGAAAAACUAUCAAGAACCUACAUCCGGGAGAUCGUACGACUUCAUGGAGUACCAAUGUCCAUCAUCUCAGAUAGAGACAGCAGGUUCACUUCCAGAUUUUGGCAAUCACUGCAAAAAUCCAUGGGAACAAGGUUGGACAUGAGUACAGCAUACCACCCUCAAACUGACGGACAGAGUGAGAGGACGAUCCAAACCUUGGAAGACAUGUUGCGAGCAUGUGUAAUCGACUUUGGCAAGGCAUGGGAUAUUCACUUGCCUUUGGUCGAGUUCUCUUAUAACAAUAGUUAUCAUACUAGUAUCAAGACCGCUCCGUUCGAAGCCCUUUACGGCCGUAAGUGCAGAUCACCCCUGUGCUGGACGGAAGUGGGCGACACCCAAUUGGCAAAAGGUCUAGUCACUAAAAGCACCCUUACUGGUCCAGAGAUCAUCAGAGAAACUACCGAAAAGAUCGUGCAAAUACGAGAACGACUGAAGUCCUCAAGGGAUAGGCAAAAGAGCUAUGCCGACAGGAGACGUAAACCCUUGGAAUUCCAGAUUGGCGACCGUGUGCUACUGAAGGUCUCACCCUGGAAAGGCGUGAUACGCUUUGGGAAGCGUGGAAAGCUAAAUCCCAGGUACAUUGGACCCUUCGAAAUCAUUUCGAGAGUUGGUCCAGUGGCCUACAAACUCCAACUUCCAAUCGAGCUUAACAAAGUGCAUCCAGUAUUCCACGUGUCGAACCUGAAAAAGUGUUUGUCCGACGAAACACUUGUAAUUCCACUCGAUGAAAUCGCGUUAAACGAAAAUCUCAACUUUGUGGAAGAACCCGUCGAGAUCAUGGAUAGGGAAGUUAAAAGGACCAAGCAGAGUCGCAUUCCAAUAGUAAAAGUUCGAUGGAAUGCUAAGAGAGGACCCGAAUUCACAUGGGAACGGGAAGACCAAAUGCUACAGAAGUAUCCGCAUCUCUUCCUCAGCCCCUAAAACUCUUACCUUGUAUUAAAUUUCGGGACGAAAUUCCGUUUAACGGGGGGAUGAUGUAACAACCCGUUAUCCCGGGCAUUAUAAACCGAGUCUUGUAACCCCUUUUGAAUGUAAUGGGAAUAUCAUCGAUAAAUGAAUUGUUCAAAAGCUCUGAUUUGGAGUACGCUAUGUAGUAGAUAUCGUCUUAAAGGUUCCAAAUAAAUAAAGAAACACUAAAAUCUGAGUUAUGGCGAAGAAGCUAUGACCAUUCUAAGAUUUCUGUCAAAACCGACAACACCGAUCAAACGAAAAACGCAAAGUUUCAAUACGAUAACAUUUAGCCUUAGGUAUCUAAAUGAAAGUCAUAGAUAACAUUAAACCGUGAGCGUACACAAAAAGAACGUCCAAAUCUGACUUCGCAUGAGGAAGUUAUGAUUUUUCAAAGAAAUUCCUUAAAAACGAUUAGUUAUAAAAUAAAUAAUAAAAAUAAUUUUGGAAUUUGCCAACGGAGUCUAAACGAAAGUUGUAGAUCGUAGUCUCACCUACGCGUGGAUAUAAAGACCAUCGAAAACGGAGUUCGUAUGAAGAAGAUAUGGAUUUUUGAAGUUUAUUAAAUAAAUUAAUUAUUUAUUUAAUUCAAAAUUCGGAUAUUAUCCGAAGAGGAGUCAGCGUCCUUCUCCGAAGUACGCGCUGCGUACUCCUGUACGCCCCGCGUAACCGAGAGGAUUGGCCUCGGAUCGUCCACGUCGCCAUAUCCGAGGAAGCCGACCCGUCCGACCCGUCCGACCCGACGUCCCAUCCGACCCGGCGUCCCAUCCGACCCACCUCCCCAGCAACCCGUCCCAUCCGACCCGAGAACCCAAGAACCCGUCCCAUCCGAACCGAGGCAGUCGAGGCUUCGGUCAUGCAUGACGUACGCGUACGCAGCGCGUACGAGCGUACGCCCCGCGUACCGAGGCAGACCUGCCUUCCUAUAAAUAGAAUGCGAGGGUUUCCAAAGAAAGGGUUCAUUUCUCUUCUCUCUCUCUCAGCAUUUCCUCGUUUUCCGUGUCCGUUCAAACCCGAAGCUCUGGUCUUUUUGGCUCAAGUCCCGAAGGCCGAUUCUACUCCCGAGAUUCCCGAGAAUCCCAAGAAAAAUCAGUUUCCCGAGACGAAACUCUGCUCGGUUUUCCACCUCACAAUCUUCAAACUAUCAAGUGAGUUCAUAUCCCCUUUGAACACUCUUUAAAUACAUUUUAAAUGUUUUAUACUCUUUUUGGGGAGGAAUACAAGUUAACACAUGACUAAAUUCGUGUGAAACAUUAACCUUUUGAUAUACUUUUCAUACUGUUGUUUUAACUAUCUUGUGAAGUUAUUAUGAUACAAAACCCCUCACAACACAGCUUUACCCUCUUUGGGAUAUAAUAUGUUUAUAAAUAGAAAUAUGUUUUAUUUAUACGUUUACAUACAAACACAUCAUAUCAAGGGUAACAUUCUUUACUAAGUCAUUUCAUGCAUUCAAAGAACUUAUGAUUAUGCUUUGUCAAACAUUGUGAAAGAGGUUAAACUUUGCAUACAAACUACUACCUUAUUACGGACUUAGUUGAGAAUCCAUGAGUCGUGUAUAUCUUCAAACGUUACUUUCUUUAUUAGAAAAUAAUGCUACAAGUCCUGUCUAUAACCAGAGUCUCCCGUUCGGAGAACGUGUCAAAUGUGUAUAGAUCUAUACGGGAAGUCAUGAUCCCGCGCCCUGACUGUUAGCUACAGUCCGUCUUUUGGGGUGACAGUUGUCAUAACGCUACGACGCCUGAAGAACGUCGCUACAGGCAUAUUAUGUUUAGUAUGGUUAUAAAACUCAUCGGAUAUACAAUUAUUAUGGUAUUAUGCUUUUAUGAACGAGUAGUCAUUAAAACUAUUCUUCAUCUAAUAAGUGCGAUCUUCGUAUAGCUUUACUAUGUAAAACUAUGACACAACUUACAAGCACGUCGCUUGCUUGCGAUUUUCGGUCUUAGAGACUGCCAGUUAUGUCAGGGAAAUAAGGGUUUUUCCUGUAUACAAACCAAACAACUAAUAGGAAAAUAAGGGAUUUUCUCGGUACAAUUAGUUGCAAUUUACAUCACGAACAUUCAUAUGCAUUGCAUACUUUUAUAAGAAAAUAAGGGUUUUUCUGGAAAACAUGCAAACACUUUCGAAUGGCAUACAUCUUCUCAAAACACUACUUAUGAACUCACCAACUUAAAUGUUGACACUUUUUCUUUGAAAUAACUUGUAUUCACAGGAAACCGCUAGCCAGGUAGCAACUACUUCUGAAGACUAACGCAUUGGCGUUAGUAACAUAUUUUGGAUCACCAUUUUAUAUUUGAUUUCUUUUGCAAACAUGUAACACCUACAAUCAUGUAAACUUUUCAAACAUAUUUAUAUUAUGGUGGUGUGUACUUUCCUUUCUAUGAACUGUUAUGAUACUGAAUAUGAUGUCCUCCGCCCCCGAACGAUUCCGCCGUUCAGGUUUGGGGGUGUGACAGAUUGGUAUCAGAGCUUCGUUUAUAGUGAAUUAAGUAUAUCAAAACCAUUUUUUUUUUACAACUAUAAACUCAACUGGGCAAAAACACUCUGAGAAGAGUCAUGCUUUUGAAAUUAAAUCUAUUUAGUUUUUGUAAGUAAGCAUGCAUUCAUUUAGUAAUAAAUAACAGUUCCACAUCGUACCAUAUUAGAAGUAUUAUUAAUGAGUUGUGCAGUACAGGUACGCCUUGGGACAUGUAAUCGGAACUGGGAAGGAUAUAGCCUGAUCAACUAUAUUUGUCCGAGAGCCGACUAACGUGUGCCGAGGGGUGUCUGCAGUGGACAACAAAUUUUAAAAACUUACCAAACCGUUAUUAGAAUCAAACACAAUAAUUUAAAUGCUAUAGGAGUAGUUGCUAUUUAAACUAACUUACAUGUUUUGCAUGUUCCGACUUUAUUCAAUUCUUAUGACCCUAUUUCUCGUACAGUCAAAUGGCUGGAUUUCACCACCCCAAUGACCCCUACUUUCCCAACCAAGGCAACGGAGGAUGGAUCGAAGAUGAUCCAGAAGAGGAUGAGGAACCCAUAGAAUUGGGUGAUGACUCCGGUACUGACUCAGAACCUGAAGUGAUCGAUCCACCACCCAUUCAACCUCCUGUCCAUGUGAGGAACUUCCAAGGACCCACUCCCGUCUGGGGAAGUCACCUACAUCAUUGGAGCCAACAACAAGGCAUACGCCCUCCCUACGGCAUGUGUCGGGACUUCUACGAUGUCCGCGGUGGCAGUUCGGCUGAUCGAGCACUCCCGGUAAUGGUUGGUAAGUUAGCCAAUCAGUCCUAUCAGUCCGGAGUACAAGCAAGCCGACUCCGGGAUAUCAACGUGGAAGUGCAGGUUCACACUUCCGAUAUCCGUAGGCUGGACAAGAUACAAGAUAAUGUCCAACUCCAGUCUGAGGCAUUUCAGGCACAGAUAAUUGCAGCCCUAGCCGAGUUAAGGGAGCAACAAGCCGCUUUUGAUCGACGCCUAAUGGAAUCGAAGCAAUCAGAUGCGGAGUCAAGCUCCAAGCGCAACCUACGUCGCAAGUAGUGCCUGCCAGGAUUUCAAAUUUUGUUAUAAAUUAGGACUUCGGAUAAGAAUUUUCUUUUCGUUAAAACUUUCUGUAAUCGGAGACCUUUAGAAAGGUCAAAAAGUUUUGUCUAAACUCGGAUGUAACACAACUAUAUGUUUUAUAUAUAUGGGGCAUACCCCCCUUCUCUGAUUUUAAAUAUGUGUAUUCCGUUCAACUCAUAAGUGCAUCCAUUCAAACGUUAUUAAUAAAUCAAGCUCAAAACCCAUUGUUGAUCAAACCAAAUUCUUAAUCUAUUUAAGGCAGUUAACUCAAUAUCAUUCAACUCACAACCACCAAAACUCAUAAUAUCUCAUUUUUUUUUUUGACAGAGCGAUGCCUCCUCGUAGAUCAGCACGUACCAACGCAACCCCACCACCACCUCCACCACUAACUUAUGAUCCGGCAAUGGUCCAGGCUGCUAUCACAGCAGCAGUAGCAGCAGCCCUCUCUCAAAUAAACUCCAAUGCCAAUGGAGGUACAGGAAGCAGCACGAAUCAUCCCAAUAGUGGCACCGGCCAGGGCCAUGUUAGAGAGUGUACUUACAAGGAGUUCUCCAACUCGAAGCCAAAGACUUUUAAUGGCAGUGGCGGAGUCAUUGCACUAAUGCAAUGGUUCGAAAAGACCGAAACGGUCUUCGAGAUCUGCUCGUGCCAAGAAACAAGCAAGGUUAAGUUCGCUGCUUGCACCUUCAUAGAUCGAGCCCUCACUUGGUGGAAAAGCCAUGUGAACUCAGUGACGCUCACUGUCGCUAACGCCAUGAGUUGGGAAGAACUGAAGGUACUACUACUGGAAGAAUACUGCCCAAGGGGUGAAGUGCAAAAGCUUGAGCAGGAACUCUGGAAUUUGAAAAUGGUCGGGUCUGACCUAGUCGCUUACACAGCUAGGUUCAACGAUCUCGCUGCUUUGUGCCCUACCAUGGUCAACCCAGAAUCAAAGAAGGUCGAAAGGUACAUUUGGGGGUUGUCACCCCAGAUUCAAGGGCAUGUCCUAGCCUCCAACCCUAUCACCUACAACAGCGCUAAACGCCUGGCGCAACGACUCAUCGAUCACGGAGCGAAACAGAGUACCAUCACAACAGCCGCAAAUCCACCUAGGGAGGCUCAGGGACAGAGUAGGCCUUGGAACAAGAGGAGGGGACAAAUCCUCCAGGAGAACCCCAAGAAACAACAAGUGAUAGCGACCCACGCUAUUACUGUACCUACCAACUCUGCCCCCACAAGUUCAUACAAUGGAAAGCUACCGAAAUGUAACCAGUGCAACUUCCACCAUCACGGUCUCUGUCAUGGCCUUCAAUGCACCAGGUGCAAUAAGAAGGGUCAUACAGCCCGCUAUUGCAAGGAGCCAACCCAACAAUCCGCCCCCACUGCUAAUACCGGAGUAAGCCGCGCUUGCUUUGAGUGCGGGAGCACAGGGCACUACCGCAAGGACUGCCCGAAGGCAAACAACAGGAAUACCGGCGGAAGAGGCCGAGUUUUCGCAAUGGGACAAGAUGAAGCCAUUGCGGACCCUACUGUUGUUACGGGUACGUUUCUUCUCGAUAACUCGUAUGCAUGCAUUUUGUUUGAUAGUGGAGCGGAAAGGAGUUUUGUGAGUCACGACUUUAAAAGCAUGCUAAAACCAAUACCACAAUCAUUAAGUGAACCGUUCAUAGUAGAAAUGGCCAACGGGAAAACUGAAGGCACUAAAGAGAUAUACUUAAACUGCACCCUAACUCUAAACGAUAAUCCCUUUCAAAUCAACCUCAUGCCAGUCUCGAUUAAGAGUUUCGAUGUCAUCAUUGGCAUGGAUUGGCUGAGUUCACAUCGUGCGGACAUUCUAUGUUACGAUAAGGCCGUUCGCCUUAAUCUGCCAACCGGCGAAACCUUCCUUGUCUUGGGCGACAAACCUAGUACCACUCUUAGAAUCAUCUCAAGUAUCCAAGCUCAGAAGCACUUACGAAAGGAGUGUCACGCAUUUCUUGCACAUGUUGUAGACGUGAAACGCGAAGUCCGGGACAUCAAGGAUGUGCCCGACGUAUGCGAUUUUCCCGAUGUGUUUCCCGAGGACCUUCCAGGGAUACCACCCGUAAGACAAGUCGAAUUCAGAAUCGAUCUGAUUCCCGGAGCUACCCCAGUAGCCAAAGCACCCUAUCGAUUAGCCCCGGCAGAGAUGCAGGAGCUAUCCAGUCAACUGAAUGAACUACUGGGAAAAGGAUUCAUCAGACCGAGCUUCUCACCAUGGGGAGCACCCGUGUUGUUUGUGAAAAAGAAAGAUGGAUCGUUCAGAAUGUGCAUCGACUACAGAGAACUCAACAAACUGACGGUCAAGAAUCGUUAUCCUCUACCGCGCAUAGAUGAUCUAUUCGACCAACUGCAAGGGGCGAACUAUUUUUCUAAGAUUGAUCUGAGGUCCGGGUAUCACCAGUUACGAGUGCUAGAGGAGGAUGUGCCGAAGACCGCCUUCCGAACUCGUUACGGACAUUACGAGUUCGUGGUGAUGCCAUUCGGAUUGACCAAUGCGCCCGCAGUCUUCAUGGAUCUGAUGAAUAGAGUAUGCCGACCUUACUUGGAUCAGUUCGUCAUCGUUUUCAUUGACGACAUCCUGAUCUACUCCCGAAGUAAGAAAGAGCAUGGCGAUCAUCUGCGACAAGUUCUAGGGAUAUUACGAAAAGAGAAACUUUAUGCGAAGUUCUCGAAAUGUGAAUUUUGGAUCCGAAGAGUCGAAUUCUUAGGACACGUGGUAAGCGAAGAGGGAAUCCACGUGGACCCAUCCAAAAUUAAGGCCAUUGAGAACUGGUCAGCACCGAAGACUCCUACAGAAAUUCGCCAAUUUCUAGGUCUCGCUGGCUACUACCGCAGGUUCAUUCAGAACUUCUCACGAAUAGCGAAGCCUCUUACAACCCUAACCCAGAAAGGUGUGGCCUUUGACUGGGAAGAGAAACAAGAAAGAGCGUUCCAAACGCUCAAACGAGCCUUGUGCACCGCACCAAUACUAUCCCUUCCCGAAGGAAUAGAAGACUUCGUAGUUUAUUGCGAUGCAUCAAACCAAGGACUCGGAUGUGUUCUGAUGCAGCGAGGUAAGGUCAUCGCCUACGCCUCGAGACAGUUGAAAACACAUGAGGUUAACUACACGACCCACGAUCUUGAGCUAGGAGCAGUAGUGUUUGCCCUGAAGAUCUGGAGACAUUACUUGUAUGGAACGAAGAGCACUAUCUUUACCGACCACAAGAGCUUACAACACAUUUUCGAUCAGAAGGAGCUCAACAUGAGACAACGGCGAUGGGUCGAGCUACUCAGUGAUUACGAAUGCGAUAUUCGCUAUCAUCCGGGAAAGGCAAACGUCGUAGCCGAUGCCCUUAGUCGAAAGGAGUACUCAGGCCGGAGAGUGAAGUCAUUAGCUAUGUCGAUCCAUUCGCACCUAUCAACGCAAGUCAAGGAAGCUCAAUUAGAGGCCUUGAAACCCGAAAACGUGGCAGGUGAGGCCCUUAGGGGAAUGGACAAGAACUUAGAAAUCAAGAGUGACGGAGCACGCUACCUCAUGAACCGGAUCU